GUAGUAACAUAGAGCUAAUACAUGCAAAUACUUUUUUCUGUAAGGAGAAAAGGCACUUAUUAGAUUACAAAACCAAGAACAUGUAAAAGUGUUUUAUAAUGGUGAUUCAUAGUAAGGUUGGAAAUCGUAUGGGAGUAAUCCUGACGAUAUAUCAUUCAAAUUUCUGCCCUAUCAACUUUGGAUGGUAGUAUAGAGGACUACCAUGGUGAUAACGGGUAACGGAGAAUUAGGGUUUUGAUUCCGGAGAGGGGAGCCCUUGAGAAAAUGGCUACCACUUCUAAGGAGGGCAGCAGGCGCGCAAAUUACCCAAUCCUAAUACAGGGAGGUAGUGACAAUAAAUAACAAUAGCUGGGAUUCAAAAGUCUUAGCAAUUGGAAUGAGAACAAUUUAAACCCCUUAACGAGUUAACAAUUAGAGGGCAAGUCUGGUGCCAG
rnacentral:rRNA from 1 species